GUCUGAUUGAUUUGACCAGAUAGCGAAUGUCACCAUAACUUUAAAGUCACGCAAUGUUCGCCAUCAGAUAAAGAGUUUUUAUUUUUCUUUCAUUCUUAUGUUGCUUUUGAGAUCAUCUGUUAGAAAAUCUUGCAAAUUUCGAUCGAGGAUAAGUACAAUACAAUAAAUUUACAACUGGCAUUAUUUUCUACGUGGAAACAGAAAAGAUAUCAGUGCUUACAAGUGUUAAUUUGGGCCACAUUUUUAAUUAUUUCAGUAUUUAUAUAAAUAGAGUCGAUUCUAACACCACUUUACUCCUCUUCUUUCAUUGAAAAUACAAGAUUGCUCUUCUUGCGUUUCGGACGAGAAGGAAGAGGUCUGCAACAAAAGAGAUAAAAAUUGUUCCUCUGAUGCAGACUGCUGUCCUCACGAAAAAUGCAUUAUUCCACAUGAUUAUUGCACUGCUGUUGUCUGUCUUAAUUAUUGUGUGUAACACGACAAUAAAGAAUUGAAACUGGAAUAAUACUUCGUGAUAAAAUGUAGUAACGUAUAACAACAAUUCUAUGUCAUAUAUAAUAAAAGUAAAAAUAAAAUAAAGCAUAAUAUACACAGUAUACAUACAGAAAUCGUAAUGUAUUGAUAUAGCUACCAGUCUGUUGAUAUUUAU